rnacentral:rRNA from 1 species
UACGAAGGGAGCUAGCGUUGUUCGGAAUCACUGGGCGUAAAGCGCACGUAGGCGGCUGUGUCAGUCAGGGGUGAAAUCCCGGAGCUCAACUUCGGAACUGCCUUUGAUACAGCACGUCUUGAGUCCGAUAGAGGUGGGUGGAAUUCCUAGUGUAGAGGUGAAGUUCGUAGAUAUUAGGAAGAACACCGGUGGCGAAGGCGGCCCACUGGAUCGGUACUGACGCUGAGGUGCGAAAGCGUGGGGAGCAAACAGG